rnacentral:lncRNA from 1 species
AUGGUUUCAUCACAUUGUUUCUUUCAUCCACAAAGCAUCUUUAAGUUUACAGCUUUGCAGUCAACACCUUCAAGUUAUGUCAUAUGACCAAAGCAAAAGUUUUUACAUGAUUUACUAUUUUGAUGAAGAAACACAAGAGGGACAAAGAAUUUGUUUGGCUCAAGAAUUUGCGUAUGUGCAGAUGAAGAUCUUUGUUUCUAUUUAAGUUGAUCCAUGAUCUAGCAUACUCGUAUAUGGUGCAAUUAGACACACGGAAGUGGAUUGGAAAAUGGUUCAUGCUAAAAAAGGAUAAGUAAUGGACAUAAACGUCUCAACGAGCCACACGCAUGGACAAAUGCUAUAGGCGGGUUUUCCCAAAUCUCGGCAACCAAUUUCGUCAUCUAGAGCUGCAAUUUUGAAGUCAAGGCUGUUAAUUUCAAGGAACCCUUGGAGUGGUUACAAGUUGCGUCUGAUAGCACUUGGCAUUCAUGGACUAAGUUACGCACCUCUGAUUGGAACUUAUAACCAAUAAAGAAUUAAUGGACUUGCCUUUGAUGUCAAGUUACCAUCUGAUGAAGAUUAAAAAGAACUUACCACUGAAGCAAGUUACCUCUAGUGAAGAUUGAUGAAGUCUCGCUAAUGAAGAAGAGAUGCCACGUAUUAGCCUAUCAUUUGACGAAGACAAUCUGUUAAGAGGAUGUUAUACGUAAUUGUCACUUGUCAAUUUCGUACAUCUCAACAAGAUAACAAAAACAUGAGUCCGCAUUGUUAUUAUCACUUGAUCCCAUAGCUUAUCGUGUCAAGCAGUUGAGUAUGAAUUCGGUGCUUGAACUUAUGUGUGCAAACUUCAGAGGAAAUUUGCAAGCCACCCAACCUAAAAUAUCUAGGAAAUCGUCUGUAAAAUUUGUGACUAGUUUUACAUGAUGUAUUGAAACAUUUGAUUUUGAUUAAUACCUU